AGAGUUAUUCAGAUGCAAAUUCCUGACAUCGUCUCCACUGAGGAAUUUCGCUGAGAGACAUUCUAAUGAAAUACUUGCGUGAGGUCUUCAAAAGCUACAUCUCAGGACAGACAAACAAACAAAUGGAAGCAGUAUGCUGGUGAUGAUGCUCUCAACAAUCGACAGUCGAGCAACAAUUACACAAAAGUAUCCUCUCAUGAACAAUAAGCCUAGUAUGAGACUGGAGUCAUGCCACGAACACAGUGUGCAGAUGAAGCUGACAGGAAGCUGGCAAGGGCCACAGGAUUUACACAAGCUCCAGUCUGGAUCCAGAACACCUGAGAAGAGAUGAUGCUGACCCUCA